AUUGAACGCUGGCGGCAUGCCUUACACAUGCAAGUCGAACGGCAGCGCGGGGCAACCUGGCGGCGAGUGGCGAACGGGUGAGUAAUAUAUCGGAACAUACCCUAGAGUGGGGGAUAACGUAGCGAAAGUUACGCUAAUACCGCAUACGCACUAAGGUGGAAAGCGGGGGAUCGCAAGACCUCGUGCUCAUGGAGUGGCCGAUAUCUGAUUAGCUAGUUGGUAGGGUAAAAGCCUACCAAGGCGACGAUCAGUAGCUGGUUUGAGAGAACGACCAGCCACACUGGAACUGAGACACGGUCCAGACUCCUACGGGAGGCAGCAGUGGGGAAUUUUGGACAAUGGGGGCAACCCUGAUCCAGCAAUGCCGCGUGAGUGAAGAAGGCCCUCGGGUUGUAAAGCUCUUUUGUCAGGGAAGAAACGGUGUUUCCUAAUACGGAAUGCUAAUGACGGUACCUGAAGAAUAAGCACCGGCUAACUACGUGCCAGCCGCCGCCGUAACAC
rnacentral:rRNA from 1 species